CCGAGCUUGGCUUCUAGCUUGUCUGGUUGGGUUACUACACACUUGCACACACGGAAUACUUGUUACCAGUCUGGUUGUUCCGGCUUUUGUGAUUGUAGAUGUGGUCAGUCUUUAUGAAAAUUUGUUAAAAAUGAAGAAUAGGACCAUUUUAUUCAUGAAACACUAAAAUAUUUCGCGAGAAAAAGAAAGUAUAAAGAAGAUUUCAAGCUUAUGGCGACCAUUGCUAGUGGAAUCUAACACGACAUCAGUUUAGUUUAACAUGUCAGAAAGUCCUGAACCAGGAGAUCCUGAACAGGAACCAAGUAAAGAUGAAAAUUCUGAUGAUUAUCAAAAACUUACAGCGCCAUCUAGUGAUCACCCAAGAAGCAUUCCGACAGUAAACGGAAAAAAUGUUUCAAAUGGCAAGGAUAAAAAGCAUUUUAAAAAGUAUUUUCCGACAGACGAAGGCUACUGCUCGUCAUCUAGCACUCCUAAGUCCUCAGCUCCUCUAGCUCAAGAGAGCACCACGGACGUUCUAACGGCGAAACUGCCAGACCUGACCGACGGGACUUUGGCCGUUAGCCUAACUGAAGACGCUCUUACUAAGGAAGAGAAAGACAAUCGGCCAACGUGGGGAAAAAAAGCAGAUUUUUUGUUAUCCAUUAUAGGAUUCGCCGUGGACUUGGCGAACAUCUGGCGUUUUCCGUAUCUUUGUUAUAAGAAUGGAGGAGGCGUCUUUCUCAUCCCGUAUAGUUUGAUGCUUGUGUUUGGAGCGCUGCCAUUGUUGUACAUGGAAUUAGUUCUUGGUCAAUACAACAGGCUCGGGCCUAUCAGUGUCUGGAAAAUAUGUCCGCUUUUUAAAGGAGUCGGCUACUGUGCAGUCAUGAUAUCCUGGUAUGUGUCCUUCUAUUAUAACGUCAUCAUUGGUUGGACUGUCUACUUCAUCUAUAAGUCAUUCAGUUCUGAGCUUCCGUGGAUGCAGUGUGGAAAUGAGUGGAAUUCCGAACUUUGCUGGUCUGGUUCUCUGAACUUUAGCGACACCAACACUACUAACAGGACGUCGCCGGCUCAAGAAUUUUUUGAACGAGAAGUUUUAGAAAUACAUCUUAGUACCGGGAUCGACGAUUUGGGUGCCCCCAGGUGGCAACUGCUAAUCUGUGUCGUCUUAGUGUUUACCAUCCUUUAUCUGUCGUUGUUCAAAGGAGUGAAGUCGUCAGGAAAGGUUGUUUGGGUGACAGCGACAGCCCCUUACGUCAUCCUUACUAUUCUGCUGUUACGUGGCGUUGUUCUUCCAGGUGCUGUUAAUGGAAUCAAGUAUUAUCUACGUCCCGAUAUCCAUAAGCUACUCGAGGCGCAGGUGUGGAUCGAUGCAGCUGUACAGGUAUUCUAUUCUGUUGGCGUGGGGUUCGGAGUCCACCUUACCUACGCUUCGUACAACAGGUUCCACAAUAACUGUUACAGGGACUGUCUGCUAACAACGGGGGCGAAUAGUUUCACAAGCUUCUACAGUGGAUUUGUUAUUUUCGUUUAUCUUGGCUACAUGGCUGAAAAGCAAGGAGUCCCUAUAAACAAGGUAGCAUCAGAAGGUCACGGACUUGUGUUUCAGGUUUAUCCGGAAGCGAUUGCCACGCUACCUGGUGCACCAUUUUGGGCUGUGCUUUUCUUUUUCAUGCUGCUUACAUUAGGACUGGAUAGUGCCAUGGGAGGUCUUGAAUCAGUUAUUACUGGUCUUAUAGACGAAUUUCAACCAUUAUUCGGCAGAUGGCGCAUCAGACGAGAGAUCUUCACUGCUAUGGUCAUAUCUGUAUCGUUUUGCAUAGGAAUAGUCAACGUAACAAGAGGUGGUGGCUACAUGAUGUACUGGUUUGAUACUUACUCAGCAGGGAUUUCUCUGUUGUUUUCUGCGUUGUUAGAGGCCAUUGGAGUAGCUUGGAUCUAUGGUUUAGAAAACUUCUGCGAAAACAUAAGAGAAAUGCUUGGCUUUUUUCCUGGCCUUUUCUGGAGAUUGUGCUGGAAAUUUAUCAGUCCUAUUUUUCUGGUGGCAAUAAUAGUGUCGGCGAUUAUCACCAAUCCACCACUGAUUUAUCAAAGCUAUAAAUAUCCCGAGUGGGCUGUGGCUCUGGGAUGGACAUUUGCACUCUCUUCUGUUAUCAUUGUUCCAGUGGUAGCUUGCUAUAAGCUGUACAAAGCCCGUGGUAGUUGUACUGAGAGGCUUGCCAAAGUGAUUACUUCAAAACAAGAUGCAAAGAAGGCAGAUAAGAGACAUACUGAAGUGACGGCUACAGGAAAGGACCUGGCACAUCCGGUUGAUGAAGUGGUCAUAAAACAGUUUCACAUGAGCCACUGGGUGUAUGUAUAGCUGCUAAGAAUAGUGACUUAUUUCCCUUACCAAAGAGGCGUCUGGUGGAAGUAGAAAACAUUAUUAUUUCCCUCUGAUCUAAGCGACCAACAGUCUAAAUGCUUCUCUGGAACUCUUGGUCACCAGGAUAAAGACAAAGCAUGGUUUGUGAUGUAACAAAUGUUGUAAUCGAUAUAAAUAAAUGAUAAUUCCCCAAGAAGUCUUGGGAAUUCCAGUGUAGUAGAAUAGCACGAUUUAGUAUUAUAAAUAUCAAUAUGUCUUCUUAACUAGAAAUCAAUAAUUCUCAAUGCUUGUUGGAGAUAUUGACACGUAAAGUAAAAUGCUACUUUAAGCUUGGCUAUCUAUUUCUCUUUAAUACUUAAACUCACGGGCCAUUCAACAAGGUUAUAAGAUCAACGUUUAGUGUCAUUUUUAACCUUUAAUUCUCAUGCGUUAGGCAAAUAUGAUGUAAUGUAAGUAGUUGUGUAAAUUUUAAAACGCUGGUUAUGUUGCUAUUUUCCACAAUUAUAUAAAAACUUACCCAGAAUUCUAACGUAGGUUUAAGAAAUGAUUUCGACUUUAUUUCUGGUCCUGUUUCUGUAAUUAUACAUGUUCAAACUAAACAUAACCACUUUUUUACACAGAACAGUGAAAUUCAACCGUUGGUAUUACGAAUUCAGAUCUAUUCCUGUAUUUGUUUUUUCAGGUUAUAUAGACACGUUUUAACUCAGAUGACUAAAUGUCAGACACUUGUAUCACAAACAUUUCAACAUUAUUCUUGUAUUACUAUAGUUUAAGCGUUGUUUGACACUGUAGAGUACGUUUUCAGAAAUGGCUUGAACUAACUAUCUAUAUUCGUGUUUUUAAGUUAUACGGCUACGUUUUUCUUGUGUGACUUCAGUUCUGGCUUUCACUCCAGGACUGUGUGUGACUUUUUUGUUGUACAGAAUAAACCUACCCAAACCAAAACUAGACAGAAAGAUGGCUUUUCUUUGUGAGUGUAAUUAGAAUACCCAGACCAAAACUGAAUAUAAAAACAGCUAUUCUAUUAAUAUUCUUAAUGAUGUAAUCACAGAGAUAGCUUGUUUAACGGAGAAGCAUAAGAACUUUACCAUAUCUGAUCUUUAUAAUGUAUUUACCUAUCAAGUCUUAACAUGUAUUUAAAUGUAUUGCUCCGAUAUGACUUGUUUCGUUUCGUCUAAUACCCUCUCUCUCUUACAUAACUAUUUAUUGUAUUUACACUAUAAUGAUAUUGAGUUUCUUUAGUUUUAACUUAAUUGACUAAAGAAGUUUUAUUGUAAAGGCUGCCGAAUCUCGCUUUAACUGAAACAGAACCAUUAAAGUGUGUAUUAGCUCUCUGAGUAAACCUAUUUAAAUCCUGUGGUUGGUGUGUUUUAAAGGCUUGUAAUCUAUGUAUGAAUCACUGAGUAAUUUAAUCUUGAUGUUUUCAUGUUUUGUCUACACGCGAUAGAAUAAUCGUCAGUUGACGGAAAUCUAUUUCAUGUAUCGUGCCAAAAAUAAAAAUAGAGUU
rnacentral:misc_RNA from 1 species